UGUGUGCAGGCCCCAGCCUAUAGCCCUCC
rnacentral:piRNA from 1 species